AAACUCAAAGGAAUUGACGGGGGCCCGCACAGCGGUGGAGCAUGUGGUUUAAUUCGAAGCAACGCGAAGAACCUUACCAGGUCUUGACAUCCUUUGACCACUCUAGAGAUAGAGCUUUCCCUUGGGACAAAGUGACAGGUGGUGCAUGGUGUCGUCAGCUCGUGUCGUGAGAUGUUGGGUUAAGUCCCGCAACGAGCGCAACCCUUAUUGUUAGUUGCCAUCAUUAAGUUGGGCACUCUAGCGAGACUGCCGGUGACAAACCGGAGGAAGGUGGGGAUGACGUCAAAUCAUCAUGCCCCUUAUGACCUGGGCUACACACGUGCUACAAUGGACAGUACAAUGAGCAGCGACACGGCGACGUGAAGCGAAUCUCAUAAAGCUGUUCUCAGUUCGGAUUGUAGGCUGCAACUCGCCUACAUGAAGCCGGAAUCGCUAGUAAUCGCGGAUCAGCACGCCGCGGUGAAUACGUUCCCGGGCCUUGUACACACCGCCCGUCACACCACGAAAGUUUGUAACACCCGAAGUCGGUGAGGUAACCGCAAGGAGCCAACCGCCUAAGGUGGGAUAGAUGAUUGGGGUGAAGUCGUAACAAGGUAACCAAGGGCGAAUUCCAG
rnacentral:rRNA from 1 species